rnacentral:RNase_P_RNA from 1 species
UCCUCUUCAACGCUGCGUUUCUAUGCUACGAACGGAGAGAUCUAUCGCACGCUUGCGCGCGAGAAAAUCUCUCAUUAUACACUGGCAUAUGAGAAAUUCGGAGUAACUUCUUCAAUCACACCAAGUCGCCUGCCUUGCAGCGGGAUUGACGGGUCUGCCCGCAAGGGCCUGGCGUGAUUUCACGUCUGCAAUUGGCAUCAGAAAAGCAGGGCCUGCAGCUGCCCUCAUGCAUACCCUUCUUUUCUUCUCCUCGGAGGAGAGGAGAAGGGGAAGAUGAGGUGCGGACUCGGUGUCCCUAUGGGAGAGCCGUUGCGAAAAGAUUGUGCAAAGCACUUUAGUGCGAUACGCAGCGUCUGGACCUGGACUCGCCUUGGCUGGUCUGGGGCUUGACAAUUCAAUUCCGAUCAUUCUGUUGAGGA